rnacentral:rRNA from 1 species
UACGUAGGGUGCGAGCGUUAAUCGGAAUUACUGGGCGUAAAGCGUGCGCAGGCGGUUUGUUAAGUCUGAUGUGAAAGCCCCGGGCUCAACCUGGGAAUGGCAUUGGAAACUGGCAAGCUCGAGUUUGGCAGAGGGGGGUGGAAUUCCGCGUGUAGCAGUGAAACGCGUAGAGAUGCGGAGGAACACCGAUGGCGAAGGCAGCCCCCUGGGCUAAGACUGACGCUCAGGCACGAAAGCGUGGGGAGCAAACAGG